rnacentral:lncRNA from 1 species
CGAUCUGUACCGGUGGAGCUUCUUCGAGUCAUUAUAAGAAAUUUGAAAACUCACUUUCCACCGAAGAAGAAGAUCUAGUUCCCGCAAUGGGUUCUUCAUAAUUUUGCCUAUAUGUAUUUGUUCACAUUAUCAUACAUUUUGGAGUUUUAGGUUUCAAUAUAUCUUUAAUUGACUUUUAUUAUUCUUAUUCGCAGAAGAUGAAGUUGAUGGUGAAGAAGAGAAAUCUCC